rnacentral:rRNA from 1 species
CAAAAGCGGAGGAAAAGAAACCAACCGGGAUUGCCUUAGUAACGGCGAGUGAAGCGGCAAAAGCUCAAAUUUGAAAUCUGGUACCUUCGGUGCCCGAGUUGUAAUUUGGAGAGGGCAACUUUGGGGCCGUUCCUUGUCUAUGUUCCUUGGAACAGGACGUCAUAGAGGGUGAGAAUCCCGUGUGGCGAGGAGUGCGGUUCUUUGUAAAGUGCCUUCGAAGAGUCGAGUUGUUUGGGAAUGCAGCUCUAAGUGGGUGGUAAAUUCCAUCUAAAGCUAAAUAUUGGCGAGAGACCGAUAGCGAACAAGUACAGUGAUGGAAAGAUGAAAAGAACUUUGAAAAGAGAGUGAAAAAGUACGUGAAAUUGUUGAAAGGGAAGGGCAUUUGAUCAGACAUGGUGUUUUGUGCCCUCUGCUCCUUGUGGGUAGGGGAAUCUCGCAUUUCACUGGGCCAGCAUCAGUUUUGGUGGCAGGAUAAAUCCAUAGGAAUGUAGCUUGCCUCGGUAAGUAUUAUAGCCUGUGGGAAUACUGCCAGCUGGGACUGAGGACUGCGACGUAAGUCAAGGAUGCUGGCAUAAUGGUUAUAUGCCGCCCGUCUUAAAA